CUUUGCUGGACGGGGACCCGGCGUCGCCCGUUGACCUGCAAUCCGCUCAAGCAGGGUUGAUCCCCCUUCCAGAGGUUGCAGGAAACCCACUCCCUGAUGGCGCGCCGGCGUUGAUGGUCCGAGCUCCGCGCAAUGGGAGGCCGCCGAACCCCGUCAGGACCGGAAGGUAGCAGCGGUAAGCGGUUUGAACAUGUGCCGCGGAACCGCUUGGCCGGAGCCGGCCGCCACUGGGGAUUGGCGCUUCAGGAAUCGAAGGCGGGCGCGCAG
rnacentral:SRP_RNA from 1 species